GAGUUUGAUCAUGGCUCAGGACGAACGCUGGCGGCGCGCCUAACACAUGCAAGUCGAACGAGAGAUGAGGAGCUUGCUCUUCAAAUCGAGUGGCGAACGGGUGAGUAACGCGUGAGGAACCUGCCUCAAAGAGGGGGACAACAGUUGGAAACGACUGCUAAUACCGCAUAAGCCCACGGCUCGGCAUCGAGCAGAGGGAAAAGGAGCAAUCCGCUUUGAGAUGGCCUCGCGUCCGAUUAGCUAGUUGGUGAGGUAACGGCCCACCAAGGCGACGAUCGGUAGCCGGACUGAGAGGUUGAACGGCCACAUUGGGACUGAGACACGGCCCAGACUCCUACGGGAGGCAGCAGUGGGGAAUAUUGCACAAUGGGGGAAACCCUGAUGCAGCGACGCCGCGUGGAGGAAGAAGGUCUUCGGAUUGUAAACUCCUGUUGUUGAGGAAGAUAAUGACGGUACUCAACAAGGAAGUGACGGCUAACUACGUGCCAGCCGCCGCCGUAAC
rnacentral:rRNA from 1 species